CGGGGGUAAAAAUAAAAUGUUUCCAUCCCCAGCCAAUCCCUGGAAAGGCAGAAGGGCACUCCUCCAAUGGGAGCCGGGGAGCCGUCGGUAGCGGCGUAGGCCCGUGCCCCUGCUCGCGCUGCAGCCCGUGGAAGGGUUCCGUCCAGCGUAUCCUUCAGAUCUUGCUGUAGGCCUCUGGUGUCUGUGCGCGCGCGGCAGGGGCGGCGGCGGCGACGGCCGGAGGUGUACGUUGCUUCCUCUACUGAAGUCUUGAAACCCCUGAAAGUCAUCCCUGAGGUUUGAAGUUAACUUCUUCUACACCCUGUUAAUGUUGAUAUUUUGACCUCCUUCCAUGAAUCACAAAUGUUCUUAAUGGCAUCUAGAAUGGUGAGUCCUUUCCAGAAGAUUUUCAAUUUACUUUUCCCGGAUCCAUCAGAGGAAUCACUGUCUAUGGCGGCUAUAGCCUUAUGAAAUGUAUUUCCUAAAUAAUAAGACCUGAAAGUCAAUAUUACUCCUUGAUCCAUGGGCUGCAGAAUGGAUGUUGUGUUAGCAGGCAUGAAAACAGCAUGAAUCUCCUUGUACAUCUCCAUCAGAGCUCUUAGGUGAUCAGGUGCAUUUUCAAUGAGCAGUAAUAUUUUGAAUGGAAUCUUUUUAUCUGAGUAGCAGGUCUCAACAGUGGGCUUAAAAUAUUUAAUAAACUAUGCUAUAAACAGAUUUGCUAUCAUCCAGGCUUUGUUGCUCCAUUUAUAGAGCACAGAGUAUAUUUAGCAUAGUUCUUAAGGAUCCUAGGAUUUUCAGAAUGGUAAAAUGAACACUGGCUUCAAGUUAAAAGUCACCAGCUGCCUGAGCCUCUAACAAGAGAGUCAUCCUGUCUUUUGAAGCUUUGAAGCCAGGCAUUGACUUCUUUCUAGCUAUAAAAGUCCUAGAUGGCAUCUUCUCCCCAUAUAACGCUGUUUCAGCUACACUGAAAAUCUGUUGGCCAGGUGCGGUGGCUCACGCCUGUAAUCUCAGCACUUUGGGAGGCUGAGGCGGACGGAUCACCUGAGGUUGGGAGUUCGAGACCAGGCUGACCAACAUGGAGAAACCCUGCCUCUACUAAAAAUACAAAAUUGGCUGGGUGUAGUGGCGCAUGCCUAUAACCCCAGCUACUCGGGAGGCUGAGGCAGGAGAAUCACUUGAACCUGGGAGGCAGAGGUUGCAGUGAGCUGAGAUGAUGCCAUUGCAUUCCAGCCUGGGCAAUAAGAGUGAAACUCCGUCUCAAAAAAAAAAAAGAAAAGAAAAAAAAGAAAAUCUGUUGGCCGGGUGCGGUGGCUCACGCCUGUAAUCCCAGCACUUUGGGAGGCAGAGGCGGGCGGGUCACAAGGUCAGGAGUUUGAGACCAGUCUGGCCAACAUAGUGAAACCCCGUCUCUACUAAAAGUACAAAAAUUGGCUGGGCGUGG
rnacentral:lncRNA from 1 species